GAAAACAUGAAAUCAGAUUUUGCCAUUUUCCUAAACUGUUCACAUAACAGAUGUCUCACAAGCACACUUUUUGGUAGAUAAUAUUAGGUCCUCACGAUUUCUAUCACAGCUCCAAGUAGAUGCUAUGUAUUGUAAUUGUUUUGAUUUUUUUUAACCCUGGUACUAAAUUUAGAUAUGUGUUCCAAGUAUUUGUUCAGUACUUAUUUUGUUCACUGUACAUUUUUACCUGAGAUGAUUAUAUUUAUAAGCACAUCUUCUCUUAAUUCUGAAUGGUUUUGUUCUUGAUUUUGCUCGACUUUUGUUCAAAACAUUAUUUGAAAUGCCUUUAAGAUUUUCUAUUCACAGUCACUUUUUUUCCCCUUUGUUUUCAAACUCUUUACUUCAGAAGUUUCAGUUAGUGUGUUUGCAGGCAGCUGUAGUCAUUCACUGGGCAACGCUGUUGCUAGGACUGGCUUAGGCACCUGUGCGUGUUCUAGAACCACACCACCGUCCAGAGCCUUCCGCUCUUGCUGAGGUGCCUGACCUGACACUGGGGCGCUGUGUUAGGCAUGCUCACUGGAAUGAAUGAAACCUCUGCUCUGAUCGUCGCCACACCCCAGGAUUUCACCCCCUCUGUGAUUCUUCAGAAGGUUGUGAAUGUCGCCAAUGUAGGUGCGGUUCCUUCUGGCCAAGACCAUCUGCACAGGUUUGCAGCUAGAACUGUGCACAGUGGGUCACUGAUGCUGGUCACGGUGGAGCUGAAGGAAGGCUCUACAGCCCAGCUCAUCAUCAACACCGAGAAAACUGUGAUUGGCUCUGUGCUGCUGCGGGAGCUGAAGCCUGUCCUGUCCCAGGGGUGACUGCUUACAUCUGGACUUCAGAGGCUGGCACACAACAAAAGUGCCUGGCAUCCACUGCUGCCGCCUUUCAUUUAUAAUAAUAGCCCUUCCAUCUGGCAGUGGGGGGGCAGGCGCUCCCACAUCCUCGUCUCCUGCUGUAGAAUGCUAGUGUGUAUCUAUCAUGUAUGCGACUCUCCCCUUCCGCCUUGCUAACCAAAGAACAUAUACUUCACUGUCAGUUAUCUCAGCUCUGGAGCCCACGUGCGUUCUCUCUGUCCUGCGCCUCCUUUCGGCCUCUCCCUCCUCUUUCUCUUCGACGAUGAUGGACACGAAUUGGAUGUUCAAAGUUCAUUGGAAACCAUCUUCCCUUCAGCAGGAAGCAAACAUUAGCGAAGAAGGAGUCUCAGGGCCUCGGCGGGGCAUGGGAGGCCGGCACCCCACCCCUUUAGAAUUAAAUGCAGAAGCUCGGUCUUUGCAAUUGCCUUGUAUUGUGAUUGGUUAUUGAUAACGAUCAUCAUGAAAUUAUCUCUGAAAAACAAGAUAAAUAAAGGAGCAUAUGAGUAA